rnacentral:rRNA from 1 species
ACGACCUCAACUCAAGCAAGGCUACCCGCUGAACUUAAGCAUAUA